CACUCGCCACGGUAAGAGACGAGGAAUUAGAAAGAGUGACGCACAAAGAAAAAGAGUGCUCAAGCUACUUAUAGGGUACCACGACCUAGGUACACUGAAUGCACUAAGACAUUCCUCGAGUCCAUAGCAGUGCGGUUGUCACCGCGAGAACCAAAGAAAUGCUACGGUCGAAUAGGUACAAGCAUACAAGAGUUUAAGCACGAAGAACUCAAAAGGCAAGAAAGGACACGGGUUUCACUUUCCAUUGAUCCGCUCGCCAUA
rnacentral:lncRNA from 1 species